CAGUAGCCGCGGGAAUACGUAGGGUGCGAGCGUUAAUCGGAAUUACUGGGAGUAAAGCGUGCGCAGGCGGUUAUAUAAGACAGAUGUGAAAUCCCCGGGCUCAACCUGGGACCUGCAUUUGUGACUGUAUAGCUAGAGUACGGUAGAGGGGGAUGGAAUUCCGCGUGUAGCAGUGAAAUGCGUAGAAAUGCGGAGGAACACCGAUGGCGAAGGCAAUCCCCUGGACCUGUACUGGCGCUCAUGCACGAAAGCGUGGGGAGCAAACAGGAUUAGAUACCCGAGUAGUCCCUGUCUCUUAUAC
rnacentral:rRNA from 1 species